rnacentral:rRNA from 1 species
CCAAUAGCGUAUAUUAAAGUUGCUGCAGUUAAAAAGCUCGUAGUUGAAUUUCGGGACCAAUUUGUCGGUCGUGCCUCGGUACGCACUGGCUUAUUGGUUUCUCCCUUCUGAAGAACCAUGAUGUCAUUUAUUUGGUGUUGUGGGGAAUCAGGACUGUUACUUUGAAAAAAUUAGAGUGUUUAAAGCAGGCUCACGCUUGAAUACAUUAGCAUGGAAUAAUGAAAUAGGACGUUUGAUUCUAUUUUGUUGGUUUCUAGGAUCGACGUAAUGAUUAAUAGGGAUAGUUGGGGGCAUUAGUAUUCAAUUGUCAGAGGUGAAAUUCUUGGAUUUAUUGAAGACUAACUACUGCGAAAGCAUUUGCCAAGGAUGUUUUUCAUUAAUCAAGAACGAAAGUUAGGGGAUCGAAGACGAUCAGAUACCGUCGUAGUCUUAACCAUAAACUAUGCCGACUAGGGAUCGGAUGAUGUUAAUUUUUUAAUGACUCAUUCGGCGCCUUACG